UUCACUCAUACCCACCUCCACACUUACACCAACACUACCCCCAAACUAUACUACCUAUUAUAAUGUGCUUACCUGACACUCGCCUGGCGUUCCGCGAGCGCUAUGUCAUGGGUUCGUAUCCUGGCCGGGGAGGAUUUACUGGGCGCAAUUCCUCUACACCACUUCCUAAUUGUUGAGGAAGGGACAUUCUGUACUGCCUCCUCCUUCCCUGAAGAAAUUUACUCGGCUGCCUUUAUGGUCAUCCUCACAUGUGUUGCUCUCUCACCCGUCACCUGCCCUCGGCCAACAACGUGUGUCUGAUGCCGUGGUGGUAUGGUAGCUGUCUUCAGUACACCAGUAUAUCUUCAUGCAUUGUAUUCAUUGUUCUUACAGUAUAUUUUUGUAUUAAUUUUCAUAUUAUCUUGUCCACCUUUGCAUUAUAUGACUGCCAAGUGUUCUUAGUUGCCAUUUUUGUUCAUUAAUAUUUCAGUAAAUUGUUUUAAUUAUU